rnacentral:rRNA from 1 species
GACGAACGCUGGCGGCGUGCUUAACACAUGCAAGUCGAACGGAAAGGCCCCCACCUUGGUGGGGGUGCUCGAGUGGCGAACGGGUGAGUAACACGUGGGUGAUCUGCCCUGUACUUCGGGAUAAGCUUGGGAAACUGGGUCUAAUACCGGAUAGGACCAUGGUUUAGUGUCUCAUGGUGGAAAAAUUAUUGUUUUGGUGCAGGAUGAGCUCGCGGCCUAUCAGCUUGUUGGUGGGGUAAUGGCCUACCAAGGCGUCGACGGGUAGCCGGCCUGAGAGGGUGGACGGCCACAUUGGGACUGAGAUACGGCCCAGACUCCUACGGGAGGCAGCAGUGGGGAAGAUUGCACAAUGGGCGCAAGCCUGAUGCAGCGACGCCGCGUGAGGGAUGACGGCCUUCGGGUUGUAAACUCCUUUCGUUAGGGACGAAGCCACACCUUUUUUGGGAGUGGUGACGGUACCUUUGUUAAGAAGCACCGGCUAACUACGUG